rnacentral:rRNA from 1 species
AACGAACGCUGGCGGCGCGUCUUAAGCAUGCAAGUCGAACGGCAAGAUUGGUGCUUGCACCGAUCCUAGAGUGGCGGACUGGUGAGUAACGCGUGGGUGACGUACCCUAAGGAUGGGGAUAGCUGGUAGAAAUAUCAGAUAAUACCGAAUAUCCUUAUUGUUGUUAGAGGACAGUAAGGAAAGGAGCUUUGGCUUCGCCUAAGGAUCGGCCCGCGUACUAUUAGCUAGUUGGUGAGGUAACGGCUCACCAAGGCGACAAUAGUUAUCCGGCCUAAGAGGGUGAACGGACACAGUGGGACUGAGAUACGGCCCAGACUCCUACGGGAGGCAGCAGCUAAGAAUAUUCCGCAAUGGAGGAAACUCUGACGGAGCGACGCCGCGUGGAUGAUGAAGGCCGGAAGGUUGUAAAAUCCUUUUAAGCAAGAAGAAUAAACUUUACAGGGAAUGGUAGAGUGGUGACGGUAUUGCUUGAAUAAGCAACGGCUAAUUACGUGCCAGCCGCCGCUGUAAUAC